GGUGCGAGCGUUAAUCGGAAUUACUGGGCGUAAAGCGCGCGUAGGUGGUGUGUUAAGUCGGAUGUGAAAGCCCUGGGCUCAACCUGGGAACUGCAUCCGAUACUGGCACGCUAGAGUGCAGUAGAGGGAGGUGGAAUUUCCGGUGUAGCGGUGAAAUGCGUAGAGAUCGGAAGGAACACCAGUGGCGAAGGCGGCCUCCUGGACUGACACUGACACUGAGGUGCGAAAGCGUGGGGAGCAAACAGGA
rnacentral:rRNA from 1 species